rnacentral:rRNA from 1 species
CAAAAUGACUCUCGGCAACGGAUAUCUCGGCUCUUGCAUCGAUGAAGAACGUAGCGAAAUGCGAUACUUGGUGUGAAUUGCAGAAUCCCGUGAACCAUCGAGUCUUUGAACGCAAGUUGCGCCCGAAGCCAUUAGGCCGAGGGCACGCCUGCCUGGGUGUCGCA